UUUAGUCAGCAGGUGAUAAAUCCUGCCAAGAUUGGAUCCUUCUCUUCAAGGCAGCAGGUUCCCUUUUGGCUCAGGGUGUGUCUAGAAAUGUUGUCUGGGAGCUCAGGCCUAAAUGGAGGCCUCAUGACUCUGCCCAGUGCCCUACCCUUCUGUGACUGAGCUGGUAUCCAAGAUGCAAGACAAAGUCCUCUUUACUCUCCGCUCUCCUCUCCUUAAACAAAGGAAGGACUCACUUUCGUUGCUAUGAGAUGUACUGCCUGGGGCUGGGGGAGGGAUGGUGCUAGCCCUCCCUUAGCUGUGCCAGCUGGUGUCACCUGAGGUCAUGUGCCACCCUAGUUCACUGUCUCUAAGCCCAGCCUAGCACUAGGGGUUGCCUAGGAAUUGCAGUCCUUGUGUCCUAGACUGCCUUUCAAGUAUACCUGGGACUCCAGAGCACUACAGCCCGCGGUGGUGAGGCUUGCUGUGAAACUCAAAUUCCAACUGCUGGGAUGGGCAAUUUUUCCUAGCCCCGGCUAGGGCUGGUCCAAAUGCCCCCUCUAUGCAUGGGCACUGGUUCCACUCUCACAGGUCAGCACUGAGUUCAGUGUAAAGUCACUGUCACUCCCCAAAGCACACAGAUGCUCUCUGUGCGCUGCAAGGCCACUGCCAGGGGACUCUGGAGGGGUGUUAGACUCAAGAUUGUCUCUCCUGCCCUCCUAAUGCCUCUUUUGGCAAUGCGAAGUUAAAACCAGGUACUGUGACUGCUCACCCAAUUUUUAUUUCUUGUGACAGUGCUUUUCUGUGUGCAGUUAGUUGUUAAAUUUGGUGCUCCAGUGGAUGGGAGAUGAACAGUUUAGGCUUCUAUUCUGCCAUCUUGCUCUGUGCCUCUCUCCAUUUAUUUAGAUCUUUGAGACAGGGUCUCACGCUGUCACUCAGGCUGGAGUGCAGUGGUGCCAUCACAGCUCACUGCAGCCUCAACCUCCCCAGCCUCAAGCGUUCCUCCUACCUCAGCCUCCCAAGUAGCUGAGACUACAGGCACGUGUCACCACACCCAGCUAAUGUUUUCGUAUUUUGUAGAGAUAGGGUUUCAGCAUGUUCCUCAGGCUGGUCUCGAACUUCUGGGCUCAAGUGAUCUGCCUGCCUUGGCCUCCUGAAGUGCUGGGAUUAUAGUGUACAGGAGCACACAAAACAUACCUCGGUGAUAUUCUGCAACAAUGACCCAUGCUGGUGUAGAAUUCUCACUUUUUAGUAGAACCUUUAAAAACUCAAGUGAGCUGUACGACACCUUCAUUGCUUUAACUCCAGUGAACCGUGGAGUUAUAAAGAAGCUAGGGUUCUU
rnacentral:lncRNA from 1 species